rnacentral:lncRNA from 1 species
AAAGUUCUAAAUUAAAGCGCAAUUUAGUGACUUGAUUUAAUAUGUUUACGAAUGAGAAAUCUUGGUAAUGCCUCGAACCCUAUCCCGGCGUCGGAUAGGGUAAGGGGUGUUACAUUAUAUAUUGAAUGACGCAUUCGUUCAUCAUUUGAAAGAAGGCUUGUUUUGCCUCCUCACUUUGGCCAUCAGAUACGGGCCUUCUACUACUAGAUGCAGCUUUUUAAACUGAAGCUGAAACAUUGCUCUCAGCUUCCUCGGAUUCAGCUCUAGCUUGGUUGGAUAACAUUACUAUAUGAAAAACACAUUUAAAAUGGUUAGAAGAUAUCACACUAUCACAAAUUAUAUAAUGGAAUGUAUAGCUAAACUCAUACUUGCUACAUUCAAUCCAAGGAUCGACUAAAUCGUAGCUCUAACACCAAUAAAUGUAACACCCCUAACCCGUAUUCAUCGCCAGAACAGGGUUACAAAAUAUUAUCAAAGUUUACAGAAUAUUUACAGAUAAUUAAUGUCAUUUAUGACUCAUUUAUCAAAAUUGUUCAUAACGUUCCUUAAAUGGACCCUCGAGAUCUAAUAUGAGUAUUAGAAUUGAGUCAGGGCUAAAUCGAGAACUCAGAGAAUUUUUCACAAAAUUUUCUAAAACUUUCCUAGAUACAGGGCACACACGCCCGUGUGACCCUAAAACAUGCCUAAGCUGCAGGCCGUGUUUGACCCCAUAUAACUCUCUGACUUGUGCCACACAGUCAGCCACAUGCCUGUGUGCUAGGCCGUGUAGUUAAUUAAAAUUUUCAAAUUUAAGUGCAGGUUUCACACGGCCAAGACACAUGCCAGUGUUUUAGGUUGUGUAGCACACAUGGUUGAGACAAACGCCUGUGUCUCUGCCCGUGUGCUCAAUUCUGAGCAUUAUGUUUCUUAAUUUUAAAAUGUACGGGACACACGCCCGUGUGUCUACCCAUGUGGACAAAAUAAAGUCAUUUUCUAGCUUUAUUUCUCACCCAAAUUUUCCAAUAACCUAUACCAAAACUUACAAGUAUAUACCAGCCAAUUCAAGUAUUAAUUCCAAGUCAAUUCUAACAUCUAAUAUGAUAUUUUUUACAUAUGCAAUCAUGAUUAUAAUCUUACUGUUAUUUAACUUAUAAGUUAAGCAUAACUUGAUCAAUCAUAUUUAAUAAAAUUAACACGUAGGUAUUUGUUUUAAUAAAACCUUAUAAUUAUAGCAAACAAAACAUUACUAGUCAUUUCAUUAGCUAGUUUACAAACCACAUUCAUAUGUCAUCAAAGGCCAAGUUACCUAUAGAUGCCAUUAUACCAAAAUGAGGUUACUAUUUAUACCAAAACAAGCUAGUGGGUAGUUUGAUGAUGCUCCAAUCGUUUCGAACCUUUAUGAGCUUUCGAGCACUAUAAAACAGUGAAAAUAAAACCUAGUAAGCAUUAUAUGCUUAGUAAGUUCUUAUAACAGGAAUUGAAACUUACCAAUCACAUUUAACAAUACUAAGCAUAUAAUUAACAUGUUUUCAUCAUUUUGACAAAUUUACCUAAACACAUAUACUCAAUCAAGCAAGUUAGUCAUAUAAUACAUGUAAAUGUUAAAUAAACAUAGAUGAGCUCAUCAUAUAAUCCUUCUUCAAACAUUUCAAAAGUAUUCAGGGAAUAUUUCUAUUUAUCACUUCAUUUUCUCAUGUCAAUAGUGUUAUCCGUUGAAUUAUUGAAAUAUUGAUGGACACUCAAAUAAUACACUCAAGGUGUACAUAUCUAUAAACUAUCAAUUCUUAUACAAGGAGCAUACUCUCGAGCCACAUAUAAGAUGCUCAAACGAGCCAUGUAAUCAUGUAACAGGACACUUAUCUGAGCUAAUUAGGAAACUUAUAAGAGUUAUUACUCAGGAAGCUCAUAGAGCCUUUCAGAUAUCUCCAAAGAGAUAAUAUCAGAAAGCUUUGGAUAAGGUAACAGAGAGUUUAAGAGAGUUUAACAAGAUGCUCACGAAGAUCUGCGUUUGUGUCUACAUUAUUUGCAAGAUCGCAACCGAUCGAAACAUUUAUCAGGAUGCUCACAAAGAACUGCGGUAAUGUGCAACAAAUGCAAGAUCAUUACUGAUUAGGAUGCUCGCAGGAACUGUAUGUAUAUCAAGAUGCUUAAGAGUUAUAUAGGGAUUACUCGUUUGAGCUAAAUCUCGUCUGCAACGUAUGCAGAAUCAUAUUUCAUGCGCGGGAAAUAACAUUUAUCCAUCGAUUUUUACUAUUCCAACGGUACUUACAAUUUUAUGACUUUUGCAAUCAUAUAACCAUUUCAAGUGUUUAUAACAUUUAUAUAGAUUACAUAAACAUCUACCACAUUCAAAUCAAAUACAACAUUCAAUUAAAACAUAUUAACAUGCAAAAUUAAGUUACACGAACUUACCUCGAUAACAGUUCGUAUAAGAAAAUCUACUAAUCUGAAACUUUCUCUUUUCCUCGAUCUAGUUUUGAAUUUGUGUUAUCCAGAUCUAUAUAAAUGAACUUCAUCAUCAAUUUAUCACAUUUCAUAUUCAAUUGGACUUAAUUUACACCCUAGGCAAAAUUACCAUUUUACCUCUAAACUUUUCAUAAAUUUCAAUUUCGUCCCUAGGCUCGGAAAAUAAAAUUCAUGUAAUUUACUUCUCAUUCCAAGCCUAACCAAAAUUUCGAUAUAAAAUUUACAGCACAUGUAUUCAAUAAAAUUAAGAAUUUUUCUUCAAUUUUUACAACUUUACAAUUUAGUCCUUAAAUCACAUUUUCAUCAAAAUUUACUUUGUAAAAGUUGUUUAUCUAUCAACAACCUUUCAAUUUCUACCAUAAAUUUCAAAUUUUCAACAUAUUCAUCCAUGGAAAAAUUCUAUACUUUGAUAACUUUUCAAAUUAAUCCCCAAAAUAGAUAGAUUAGAUUAUCCUGAUCUCAAAAAUAUAAAAAUUACUAAAAACGGGAUAAGAAUACUUACUCGGUUAAGCUUGAAUAGUUUCUUCUCUCUCUCCUAGGGUUUCUAUGUAUUUGGGAAAGAAGAUGACAUAAAAUAAGAUGAUAUUUUCUUUUUAAUUAUUCAUCAUCUUCUAGUUAUUUUAGUUUCCGAUUUAGUCCCUGAGCUUUUAUAAUUUUUCCAUAGAUGAAUCACCAAAAAUAUAUACUAACUUUUCUUUAGUGGUCUAAUUACCAUAUAAGGACCUCAAGUUUUCAAUUCCAUAGUUAUUUGAUCCUUCUAGCUACUAGAAUCCAACUUUUGCAUUUUAUGCAGUUUGGUCCUUUCCAUAAUUAAGUACCUAAUCGAUAAAAUUUUCUUAUCAAGUUUUUCAUAUGACAUUCCUAACAUAAUUCAAACCAUGCAAAAAUAUAAAAAUAAAUUUUCUUUUCAGCUCGAAUUUGUGGUCCCGAAACCAUUGUUUCGAUUGCACUGAAAAUAGGUUGUUACACUUAUGGUUCAGCAAGAGCUUAGAGAACUAUGCCCCAAUAGUCUCCUUGAAGCAACCCCACUUCACUCUCACAUAGGUGACUUAUGUUGUUCGUUUCUCCGAAACACACAAUGGUCAUUAAAAGUUUUGCUUAACCUUUUCCACAUUUUAAUCCUUGUUUUCAUCAUAAGAAUGGACUUGAGAUAAGAAUCCCCACAGUGACCUCACAAGGUCUAUACAAGUAAGUUUUCCCAUUGAACUUAGAUCUUAGGAUCUCUAGUCAACUAGGUUGGGUUUUCUUUCACAGAGCACCUAUUCCUUUCGAUGUUUUAUCAACUUGAUCUCGAUUUAACCCUUUGGUUAGUGGAUCCGCAGUAUUAUCUUUUGAUAUUACAAAAUCAAUAGAGAUAACUCUAGUUGAGAUAAGUUGUCUAACGGUAUUAUGUCGAUGAUACAUGUGUCUCAACUUACCAUUAUACAUUAUGUUUUGUGCUCUACCAAUUGUUACUUGGUUAUUACAAUAUAUGCAUAUUAUGGGCACAGGCUUUGGCCAUUCCAGAAUAUCCUCUAAAAAUUUUCAUAGCCAUUCUGUCUCUUCUCCAAAUUUUUCUAGAGCUACAAACUCAGAUUCCAUUUUGGAUCUAGUUAUAAUCAUUUGCUUUGAGGAUUUCCAUUACACAGCUCCUCCUCCCAAUAUGAAAAUAUAACCACUUGUGCAUUUGGUAUCUUGAAUAUCAUAUAUCCAACUAGCAUCGAAGAAUCUUUCUAACAUAGUAGGAUCACUAGAAUAAUAUAAUCCAUAGUUCUAAAUAUAUCUGAGAUAUUUCAGUACUCUCACAAUCGCUUUCCAGUGAUUCUCCCUUAGAUUGCUUAUGAAUCUACUUAAACUACUUACAAUGAAAGCAAUAUCAGGUCUAGUGCAACUCAUAAGGUACAUUAGACUGCCUAUGACUCUUACAUAUUCUACUUGGUCAACACUUUCACCUUUUUUUGGACAGAUGUUGACUUAUAUCUAUUGGAGUUCUAGCUACACCAAAAUCAUCCUUGCCAAAUUUCUCAAGAAUCUUGUCUACGUAGUGUGAUUGAGUUAAUACGAAACCUUAAAAUGACCUUUUGAUUUGGAUGCCCAAAAUCAUGUCAGCAAGUCUCAUAUCUUUCAUGUCAAAUCUUGAAUUUAACAAGUUUUUAGUACAUUUUACCAUUUCAUUGUUACUUCCUACAAUGAGUAUGUCAUCAACAUAUAAACAUAGAAUUACAUAUCCAUCAAUAGUGGUUUUAACAUACACAUAUUUGUCACACUCAUUAAUUUUAAAUCCAUUUGAUAUCAUGACACUAUCAAACUUUUCAUGCCACUACUUUGGUGCUUGCUUAAGCCCAUACAAAGCUUCACCAAUCUACAAACUUUUCUUUCUUACCCUGGAGCUACAUGACUCUCAGGUUGUUCCAUGUAAAUCUCCUCAUCAAGAUAUCCAUUUAGAAAAGCUAUAUUAGCAUCCAUUUGAUGAACUUCUAGAUUCUACAAAGCAACAAUAGCAAGUAUCAUCCUUAUAGAAGUUAUUCUUGAUACAGUAUCAAAGUAAUCAAGGCCUUCAUUUUGUCUAUAACCUUUUAUAACCAAUCUGGCCUUGUACUUAUCAAUUGUUCUAUCUGCUUUCAUUUUUCGUUGGAAAAUUCAUUUAGAAUUUAAUGGUUUAAUUCCCUGAGGUAGAUCCACUAAUUCUCACGUAUGAUUUUUCAUGAUGGAAUCAAUUUCACUUUUAAUAACAUAUUUCCAAAUAGUUCUUUCAGAUGAGCGUAUAGCUUCACUAUAAGUUUGAGGUUCAGUCUUUGGCAUAUAGGUUAGAAAAUCUGAUCCAAAGGACUUUUCCACCCUUGCCCUUUUACUUCUUCUUGAAUCUGCCUCGACUUCAACCUCUUGUUGAAAGUUUUGACUAUCAAUAGUCUCUGAAGUUUGUUUUGUUGAACUUGACCCAACUUCCCUAGUCUUACAAAGGAAUAUAUUUUCAAAGAAUAAGAUAUUUUUAGAUUACAAUAUCAUAUUCUUGUGAAUUUUAAGAUUCUUUAAUUCAUGCACAAGAAACAAAUAUGCAUUGUUGUGGCAUGCAUAACCAAUGAAAUUACAAUCCACCAUUUUAGGACCUAUUUUCAUUUGCUUCGAUAAAUGAACCAUUACUUUUGCAAGACACCUCCACACUUUUAAGUAGUUGUAGAAAGGUUUCCUGCCCUUCCAUAACUCAUAUGGUGUAUUGUUCUUUUCCUUAUGGGGCACUUUAUUUAAAAGGUAAUUCGCUGAUAAAACAGCUUCCCCCCACAUGUUCUGUGACAACCCAGAACUUCCUAGCAUUGCGUUCAUUAUUUCCUUUAGGGUUCAAUUUUUUCACUCUACUAUUUUAUUAGAUUGAGGAGAGUAUGGUGGUGUCACUUCAUGAAUAAUACCAUGUUGUGCACAAAAUUUACCAAAUGGUUCAACAUAUUCACCACCACAGUCACUUCUCACCAUCUUAAUUCUUUUAUUAAGUUGGGUUUCAACUUCUUGCUUAUAGACAAUUUUUUCUAUAGCUUCAUUGUUGCUUUUAAGCAAAUAUACAUAGAAAUAUUUUGUUCUAUCAUUAAUGAAUGUAUUAAAAUAUUUAUUCCCUUAUCUAGUUUAAAUAAACUUUAAGUCACAAAUAUCACUAUGUAAUUAGAUCAAGUGGUUCAGUAUUUCUUUCAACAGAUUGAAAUGAAGACCUUGUUAGUUUUGCAUCAACACACGUUUCACAUUUAUGAUUAUAAUUAAUGUGAAAUGAAAGAAUGUCCUCUGAGUUAAUUAAUCUACGUAAACUAUCAGAAUUAACAUGUCCGAGCCGACCAUGCCAUAAAUCAAAUUACUUAAGCAUAUAAAUAGAAGAAGAAGCAUCAUUCUUAUUCAUAAUGUUAGCUUUUAUAGAGAUAGUAUUGAGUUUCCAUAUAUCAUUUAAAACAUGUCCCCUUCCCAUAAACAUUCCCCCUUUUGACAAAACUAACUUUUGGGAUUCAAAUAUCAUCCUAAAGCCAUGCAUACUUAGGAGGGUCCUAGAGACAAGGUUCCUGCGUAUGUUAGGCACAUACAACACAUUUUGAAGUUUCAACUCUUUAUCAAAAGUCAUCUUCAAAAUCACAGUGCCUUUCCCUUGAUCUUGGAAGUUGCAGCAUUGCCCACAUACAACUUCUCCCCUUUCUCACAAGGAACCAACUCAACAAAGGAGUCAUUGUUACAGCAAAUAUGACGUGUAGCACCAAUAUCAAGCCACCAUUCUCUUGAUUUGAAUCAACCAAUUUGACUUCAAAAAUCACAAUGCAGAGGUUAAGAUCAGAUACUUCCUUAGAAAUAUUUUCCACAGUGUUGGUCUCAUUUGUUCUGACUCUCUUUGGAAGCCUACAAUCGAAUGACUUGUGUCUUAUCUUAUUGCAAUUAAAGCAUUUUCCUUGGAAUUUUGGCUUCUUGAAGACACCGUCUUUUGGUCCUAGUUUAGACCCAGUCUAAUAAUGUUUUCUUUUCUUGGAGUCCUCAUUGACUUCUACUAUGUUUUCCUUGGAAAAGUUAGGAUUGGUUGCUUUGUUUAGCCUUUUAGUCGCACCUCGAUUGUCUUCUUCAAUUUGAAUUCUGAAAUCAUAUCUUCCACUGUCAUUUCCUUUCUCUUAUGCUUAAGAUAGUUCUUGAAGUUAUUCCAAGUAGGGGGAAGUUUUUCAAUAAUAGCUGCCACCUGAAAGGAUUCACUUAUAAACAUCCCUUCUACAAGAAUGCCAUGAAUGAUCAAUUGGAAUUCCUGCACUUGAUUUACAAUAGCUUUAGAAUCAACCAUUACAAAGUUUAAGAACUUGGCAACUAAGAAUUUUUUAGCACCGUCAUCUUCAGUUUUGUAUUUAUGGUUCAGUGAUUCCCAUAAUUUCUUAGUCAUUUUUUUGAUACUGUAUACAUCAUAAAGUUCAUCAGAUAAACCGUUCAAUUUACGGCAUAGGAAAUCAGAGUUGUUCCAUGCUUCGGUAAUGUUGAAGGUAGUAAUAGCAUCUUCCUCAUCCUCUCUAAAAAUAGGAGGAUCAUCUUUCAGAAAUCUUUCCAUAUUCAACAUGGUCAAAUAGAAAAACAUUUUUUGUUGCCAUGUUUUAAAAUUCUCUCCAAUGAAUUUUGCAGCUUUUCAUUGUGACUUAUAGUCACAGGUAACAUUUGGCUCACAGCCUGAACAUAAGCAGCGACAAUCGCCUUAGCCUUUGAAUUAGAUGAGUUAUUUGAAGUAUGAGACAUUUUCUAUAUUCAGAAUGAAGAACUAGAAUCCAUAAAUAAAUUAAAAUCCAAAACAAAUGUAUAAACCAACCUAAAUAAGUUACGAUGGUAAUCUGUACGCCUUAGAUUAAAACUACAACAAAUCAUCUAUCUUAAGAUUGUAAGAAAAUAUAAUAUCGUAUGCAAUAUUAAUAUGUCAGUAAUAAUAAUAAUGCAAUACAAUGCAGUAGUAGUAACACAAUAGAAUACCUGUAAUUGGAUAGAGUUGAAAAUUAGAAGAAUUUUGUUGAGCCAUGUAUGAACAGUUUCUUUAAGAUAGAUUCGACCUCUCCUCGGUGCUUUGAGUAACGUUGGACGUUUGUCUCUCAAGAUACAACAAAUGAUCACAGUAGUAGCACCACAACAAUGAUCAAUUGAACACAAUCUUGCCUUUCUCUAUCACCAGGAGGAAUAAAUUUAGAAGGAAUUUUUUAUAUUGAUGGUUUUUGAUGAUGUGUUUUAGAAGUCUCCUACCUUGGCUUUAUAUAGAGGAGAGGAAAUGAAUGAAGAGAUUUAGACCGAUCCAUGAAGAGUUUUGUUGAAAAGUUAAUAGAUAUAAGUAAAAAGACACAAUGAAUGAAAAGAAGCAAUAUUAAACCAAAAGCAAUGAAUCUGUUCACCAAGAGAUAUAAUUGUUCAAAAGAUACAACUGUUCAUCAAGAGAUAGAACUAUUGUUUAAUUUGAGCAUCAAUUUAUCAUUCAUCACUCAAAAAUUUUGAGCAUAUUAUAUAGAAUAUAAAUCCAUAAUUUAUUAUUCAAACCUUUAAUUUUAUCAAUAAAAUAAUAUACCUCAAAGUUCCAAAAUGUCCAUUAUUUUCCAAAAAUGCCUAAUUUGUUCCUUAAUAAACUAAAAUAUGCGGUACCAUCCAUAAAUUAAACAACCUUCUCAUCCAUUUUUUGCCCACAAAAAAUGAUGUUAUAAGAAAACAUGCUGCAAUGAGUAAAUCUUGGGAUGAAAUAGGCUCCAAAACACACACCACGACACUCAACAUAAAGGUGAAUGUCUCUAAAAAAAUUUUAUGUUUCCUAUUAGCAGUUAAGACAUAUAUCUUCAGCUAAUAACAUGCUAUUAGUAAGUCAAAUUUUGAGUAUUUUGCUUGAUUGCAUCUAACUGCAAUGACCUUAGGGACUUUUGGUUGAGUCACUAAUAAUCAAGUGUUUUUUUUUAAAUAAUAAAAUGAACUAUGGUUGAGUCACUAAUAAUCAAGUGUUUUUUUUUUUAAAUGAUAAAAUGAACUAUGGAUCUUAUAGGAUGAUAUUUAACAAAGAAAAAGAAGUAUAAGUAAAAUAAAAUCAACUAAUCGUGUACCAAGGUAAACCAAGAAACCUAAGCAUAAGAAUGUAAUAAUAUUGUAGCAAAUGAACAGCUGAAAGAAACAACUUUUUCAUCCACAGGAUACAGUAUUCAAAGAAAGCUCAUAUCAAUCCAGUUCCAUAUACAUAUAUGAAAUAAUUCUUGAAAAGCAGCAAGAUACAAUAUCACCAAAUUCAUCAACAGAUAAACUUGGUUAACAAAUAUUGCAAUUUUUAUAUACCAAAUCUGUUAUUGAUCAUGCAACACACCUUAGAACUAGUGAAACAAACUAAAAUUUCAAGUUAACUACCAAUACAUAAACCUUCUGAAUUUCCAAAAUGACAACCAUUUUAAAUUUAUCCAAAACAAAAAUCAAACAAAAUUCCAUAUAUUCAAACUCUGAGUUAAACAACAUAAAAAGAAACAACUUAUUUAGAUCAAACCCAGAGAUAAAAAUCAAUAUGUUUAUGUAAUUUGGAAAAAUAGGGGUGGCUACAUAGAAAGGACUGAUCUUGGCGGUGCAUGUCUUUUCUACAGAUGCCACUUGCUUCCUCUCAAUAUCCAUUGUCGCCAUUGAAUACUACUGCUUCUCAACUAUUACUUUUGAACCCGAGCUGGAAAACCCAAAGAGUUUUCUAAUGUUGGAGAAAACGAUGACAGGAAUUUCAGUAUUACAGAGAACGGCGAAUUCUUUUGGUGCUCACCGCGUUAUUAUUGAUACACGGUAUCAACGAUAAUAAAGGAGAGGAAGAAUGUUCUGGGCAAGGAGCUAAGAGGAAGAAGAAAAUAAAAAUAGGUGUUUUCAGUACCGUCCCCCUUAAAGAGGAGGGCCUUUAGAAUUUUAUUAUAUGAGGGGAUUAAUCGGGUCGGACAUCAAGUCGAGUUAUUUUUACUAUAAUUAUAUAAUAGCUGUAAAGUUUAAGAAUAGUUUAUUAUAUUAAGU